GGUAAUAAAAAUGUGAAUAUUAAUUUCCUGUCCUCGUUCGUUCUUCAUUUCCCAGCCCAGUUUGUCAUUGUCACUCGUUUAUCCGGGUGAGAUUCGGUCGUCGGUAGACGUGACAGAAAAUAAUUUAUUGUCUUUUACUCAUUUCUUGUAUGUAUGUAGGUAUUGCUUCCAAUGUGGCAGAUGAUAGUAAGUAAGUAUAAAGAAAUAGACGACAUCCUCUUGUAAGUAAACAGUCCUUUUAUCUCCGUCGUCGUCAUCAUCAUCGUCAAACCUCAAAGGAAAGAUUUGAAUAAGAUACACUAUUAAUUCUACGUAUAAAUAAUCAACGAACCAUUUCAACAAAUAUCUAAACACACUCCUGUCCUGUUAAAAUAAAAUAGUAGAAUGAAAAUGAAACACA